UACGGAGGAUCCGAGCGUUAUCCGGAUUUAUCGGGUUUAAAGGGUGCUCAGGCGGGCCAUUAAGUCGGCGGUGAAAUUUUGCGGCUCAACCGUAAAAGUGCCUUCGAUACUGGUGGUCUUGAGUGUGGAUGAGGUAGGCGGAAUUUGUGGUGUAGCGGUGAAAUGCAUAGAUAUCACGAGGAACUCCGAUUGCGCAGGCAGCUUACUAAACUACUACUGACGCUCAGGCACGAAGGCGUGGGGAUCAAACAGGAUUAGAUACCCUGGUA
rnacentral:rRNA from 1 species